rnacentral:rRNA from 1 species
GACGAACGCUGGCGGCGUGCUUAACACAUGCAAGUCGUACGGUAAGGCCCUUUCGGGGGUACACGAGUGGCGAACGGGUGAGUAACACGUGAGUAACCUGCCCACAACUUUGGGAUAACGCUAGGAAACUGGUGCUAAUACUGGAUAUGUGCCCCUGCUGCAUGGUGGGGGUUGGAAAGCUCCGGCGGUUGUGGAUGGACUCGCGGCCUAUCAGCUUGUUGGUGGGGUAGUGGCCUACCAAGGCGGCGACGGGUAGCCGGCCUGAGAGGGUGACCGGCCAAAUUGGGACUGAGAUACGGCCCAGACUCCUACGGGAGGAAGCAGUGGGGAAUAUUGCACAAUGGGCGCAAGCCUGAUGCAGCAACGCCGCGUGCGGGAUGACGGCCUUCGGGUUGUAAACCGCUUUCAGCAGGGACGAAGCUUUUUGUGACGGUACCUGCAGAAGAAGCACCGGCUAACUACGUA